GAUUACCCGCUGAACUUAAGCAUAUCACUAAGCGGAGGAAAAGAAACUAACAAGGAUUCCCUCAGUAACGGCGAGUGAACAGGGAAAAGCCCAGCACCGAAGCCUGUGGCCAAUUGGUCACUAGGCAAUGUGGUGUUCAGGUCGUUCCGCGGAGGUGCUGCUCCAUUCCAAGUCCAGCAAUGAGUACGGUAAUGCUGACAUGGCCCAGAGAGGGUGAAAGGCCCGUUGGGGUGGAGAGGCAGAAAUGACAGCACCUUCCUGGAUAGACCUUGGAGUCGGGGUUGUUUGUGAAUGCAGC
rnacentral:rRNA from 1 species